rnacentral:rRNA from 1 species
UACGUAGGUGGCGAGCGUUGUCCGGAAUUACUGGGCGUAAAGAGCGCGUAGGCGGGGAUUUAAGUCAGGAGUGAAAACUAUCGGCUCAACCGGUAGCCUGCUUUUGAAACUGAAUCUCUUGAGGGUAUGAGAGGAAAGCGGAAUUCCCAGUGUAGCGGUGAAAUGCGUAGAUAUUGGGAGGAACACCAGUGGCGAAGGCGGCUUUCUGGCAUACAACUGACGCUGAGGCGCGAAAGCGUGGGGAGCGAACGGG